rnacentral:lncRNA from 1 species
AUUCAGACAGGUUCUGGCCGGUUGUUAUCCGUGCUGUUUGUUCCUCUACCUGUGGCUGCUGUGGAGUUUUCUUGCCUGUUGAGGCUCUGGGCCUCAGCUAUACCUGACCAUUUGGACCAAAGGAACACGGUGAUGGAUUCUGAAUUUUCGAGACUAUAAAACGGCUACCCCGAUUUCCCUCUAAUCUGAAUUCUGGGGCCUCAGAAAUAACAGGUCUAUAGAGAAGGGAAUCCAUACCUCACACAGUUAGAUGCCUGUCAUGGUGCUGGAGGAUGGAAUCCAGGGUUAACCACCGAGGCAAAGGCCACUGCAAAUGUUGUUCAUCAGAGUGACAUUCUUGCUGAGAGACUUUAGCUAGAUUCAUGCCCUCUUAAUGUGGCACCUCACGCUGACUGGAGUCCAUCAUCCCUUAUCAAAGGAAAAAAAUGAGAAAUGCCGGGGAAGACAUUGUUGAGUCAGCGAGAAGUCUGUGGAGAACAAGGAGGCUCCAAACACUGAGGUUCCCUCUUCACACCAAUUGAGAAUGAGCUAAUCGCAUCAGAUAGUGAAGGUCAAGGUUCCACCAAUGGGGUCAUGAAGGUUUCUAAAAUUAUCUGGAAAGGAGCGCGUUGAAAGAGGAAGUGGAGGGACAGCCAACCAGAACCUUACCAGACGCGAAGUCUAGAGCUGACCUUAGUCAUCAUUCAGCAUGAGCAAUGGAGAAGAGGACAGAGGCCUGCCAUCUGAGAAAAUCUCAAGACCGCUCAUUCACACCUCCAUCUUUGAGGAGAGGAGCUUGUGUCCCAGAGAGGUCAAAACAACGCUGCAGCAGAGUAUUAUCAUGGCCUGUCCGUCAAAGGGGCAAAGAGACUCAUAAGGAGAACUCUACAUUCAUUUGUCCAUGUGCUCUCAGGCUGUGCUAAAUGCCUAGAACAGGAUACAAACAAUAGGAACUAGAUUAAUUUAGCAGACUGCUUGGGUCCACAGAGUCAACGAAGCCAUCUUCAAGGUCUGUGAGAUGCCAGUCUAUCACCAGCAGAAAGUUUCUGAGAUCACAUAAAAGGAAGACAGCAAAUUAAGCAAAGACAAAUUGUUUCCACCCUAGAACUUUGCAGAGAUGUCCAUACCCCACUCUGGAUUAAGAUUCAAGGCCCUUGGCUUAAUUCACCAAGACCCUUUUCUCACUUCAAAGAAAUUCUCAGAAGGAAGAGAGGAAGAGCCAGAGUCAUGAAAGGAAUUAAGGGUCAUGUGUAUCCCAGUUUGGUCUCAGAUUUGCUACGGAACCAAGGUUGACCUUGACCUUAUGACCUGUCAGCCUGCUGAAUGCUGGGAUUGCAGGCGAGUCACACCAUGUCAAAUUCCAUAGUGCUGGAGCUCAAGCUUAGUGCUUUGUGCAUGGUUGGCAAGCAGUCUACUAACUAAGCUAAGGCUCUAGCCCCAUAUUUGAAGGUUUUAGGUGCAUUGGACAAGGAGGCGUGGGAGCAUCAGGAAGGACCAUGACCAUACGAGACCAGAAUGGAGGACCUACCAGGCCACCCUGAGCCCCCAGCCACCAGAGAAUCCUGACGUCUGCCCUCUUCCUUGUUGAUGAUGUUCCCACAGAAGGGUUGGUUUUCCAAAGGGAGGAAUUGAGGAGCUUCAGUUCAUCAUCUCUAAUAAUGAACAUUUCUGUUGGUUUAUCAAAUUUCUGGGAAACACAGGACACGGCGUAUGUGUGGAUGACACAUUUUUGUUUGUUUUAAUAUUUGGACUUGGAUAUUUUUUCUGAGCACAUUUGUAAAAGGUCUGUUAGAAGGACUUUUCUUUCCAUUAAUAAUUUUAGGAAGUGAAGCAUAUAGUAAAAUUGGUGACCAACAGAUCCCUAAGUGUUGCAUAAAUAAUCCAGGAAACUGCAAAAUGGUCUUAUGUAAAGUCACUCCACAAAUGCAUGUUUAAUUAGCACCUACUAAUGUAACAGAUGCGUUAGAAAUAAGUUAGGGUGACCUGUACUAUUCUGAACAAUACAGUAUCAGCUCGGAGGGGCCAAGGGCUGCAACAUAACCUGUUUUUAAUUGAGCAACUUGUCACCCAACAAAAUAAGAGACAGCUUGUGUUUUAUAUGUUUCUGUACUGCAUCAUU